rnacentral:rRNA from 1 species
ACGCUCGACACCUACGGGAAGCAGCAGUUGGGAAUAUUGGACAAUGGAGGGAACUCUGAUCCAGUGACGCCGCGUGAAGGAAGAAGGUCUUCGGAUUGUAAACUUAUUUUAUCAGGGAAGAAAGAAAUGACAGUACCUGAAGAAGAAGGACCGGCUAACUACGUGCCAACAGCCGCGGUAAUCUGAGCGGGCUGGCAAGGC